UCUUACAUUUCUCCAUGCUGUGUGGACAGGCAGAAGUUGAACAUUGCUUCCUUUAUGGGCUAAAAUAUUCUGCAAUAGUGACAGAGCGAAGAUCGGCUUUACGGUAUAGAAUGUGGAAUCGCUGCCAGACUGUGGUGCUGAAGCUGUAUGGAUUGUGAGCAUCUUUUGCUUAAAGAAAGUCUUUGUUAAUUGCUUAAUCACUUCAAAGAACAGAAAUAGACACAAACAAGUAAAGGGAAAAAAAGGUGACAGAAAAAAAAAC